UGGCGGACGGGUGAGUAAUGUCUGGGAAACUGCCCGAUGGAGGGGGAUAACUACUGGAAACGGUAGCUAAUACCGCAUAACGUCGCAAGACCAAAGAGGGGGACCUUCGGGCCUUUUGCCAUCGGAUGUGCCCAGAUGGGAUUAGCUAGUAGGUGGGGUAACGGCUCACCUAGGCGACGAUCCCUAGCUGGUCUGAGAGGAUGACCAGCCACACUGGAACUGAGACACGGUCCAG
rnacentral:rRNA from 1 species